ACCCUUCUACCCGGUUGAGGCAGCGGCCAGAUAAGCCGCUCACGCAGGUUCGAAUCCUGCCGGGGGCACCA
rnacentral:tRNA from 1 species